UGUUCAUUCAAUUUGUUCCGUACCGCCGUGGUAGGUAACGGUCCUCAGAUCCAAAAGUAAAUAUAUAUAUACUAUAUAUUAUACUAGCUGAUCCUGUGCACUUCGUUGCCCGUUAAAUGUACCAAUUUAUAUGACUCAAACUUUGUUCAAUUCGUUAUUUAAUAUUUGGUGUACGGUGUUCAAAAUUUAUCUUAACUUUUCUGUUGCCUGGAAUAAAAAUUCUGAUUCGCAGCAGUAUAUUAUCAAGUAGGCAAUCUACCUGCGGUAGAUCGCGGACCGAGUGCGGUUUGUACUUAAAAGGCAGUCAAAGAACUAAACAAGAAACCCGAGUACCACAGUGUAAUAAACAAUUACCUACAAAGCGUCCUGUGCAGAUGGUAAUUGUAACCGUAGGCCGUAGAAUGGUGUGGGCCAUAAGACUGGACUUAGUUUCGCGUGGCACAGAAGUAUAUAGUGUUAUUUAGACCGGAAGAGCUGUUGUACAGAUCAAUCAAUUUGGGAAGGUUUUAAAAAAUCAUUCCUCCGAAACAAACAAAAUCCUAAGUCCUAACAAAAUUACAGAAUGCUUUUGACACAGCAACAAUUUUUUUUAGAGUUCUUGAUCGUUUCAAUAGGAUCUUUACCUACGCAUUAUCUAUACAGCUGUGUUCAACGAAAUCUAUUACCAC